rnacentral:rRNA from 1 species
GGGGCAUCGACAGCACUCCCAACCCCUGUGACAUACCAAUUGUUGCCUCGGCGGAUCAGCCCGCUCCCGGUAAAACGGGACGGCCCGCCAGAGGACCCCUAAACUCUGUUUCUAUAUGUAACUUCUGAGUAAAACCAUAAAUAAAUCAAAACUUUCAACAACGGAUCUCUUGGUUCUGGCAUCGAUGAAGAACGCAGCAAAAUGCGAUAAGUAAUGUGAAUUGCAGAAUUCAGUGAAUCAUCGAAUCUUUGAACGCACAUUGCGCCCGCCAGUAUUCUGGCGGGCAUGCCUGUUCGAGCGUCAUUUCAACCCUCAAGCCCCCGGGUUUGGUGUUGGGGAUCGGCGAGCCCUUGCGGCAAGCCGGCCCCGAAAUCUAGUGGCGGUCUCGCUGCAGCUUCCAUUGCGUAGUAGUAAAACCCUCGCAACUGGUACGCGGCGCGGCCAAGCCGUUAAACCCCCAACUUCUGAAUGUUGACCUCGGAUCAGGUAGGAAUACCCGCUGAACUUAAGCAUAUCAAAAAGUGCGGAGGAAA